UAUGGUCACAUCAUGUUGAAACACCAGUUCCCGUAUGAUCACCAAAGUUAAGCAAUGUCAAGCCUGGUCAGUACUUAGAUGCAUGACUGCUUGGAAAUACCAGGUGCUGUACG